ACGACACCUUCAGGGAUUGGAGC
rnacentral:piRNA from 1 species